rnacentral:rRNA from 1 species
GGGACACGUGGUAUCCUGUCUGAAUAUGGGGGGACCAUCCUCCAAGGCUAAAUACUCCUGACUGACCGAUAGUGAACCAGUACCGUGAGGGAAAGGCGAAAAGAACCCCGGCGAGGGGAGUGAAAAAGAACCUGAAACCGUGUACGUACAAGCAGUGGGAGCACAGAGCAAUCUGUGUGACUGCGUACCUUUUGUAUAAUGGGUCAGCGACUUAUAUUCUGUAGCAAGGUUAACCGAAUAGGGGAGCCGAAGGGAAACCGAGUCUUAACUGGGCGUUAAGUUGCAGGGUAUAGACCCGAAACCCGGUGAUCUAGCCAUGGGCAGGUUGAAGGUUGGGUAACACUAACUGGAGGACCGAACCGACUAAUGUUGAAAAAUUAGCGGAUGACUUGUGGCUGGGGGUGAAAGGCCAAUCAAACCGGGAGAUAGCUGGUUCUCCCCGAAA